ensembl:snRNA U6 U6 spliceosomal RNA
GUACUUACUUUACUAGUGCAUCUAAUAAAAACUUGGAAUGAUUCAGAGAAGAUUAACAUGGCCCCUGCAUAAGGAUGAGAUGCAAACUCAUAAAGUGUUUCAUAGUUUU